UACAGAGGGGGCAAGCGUUGUUCGGAAUUACUGGGCGUAAAGGGCGCGUAGGUGGCCUUCUAAGUCGAACGUGAAAUCCCUGGGCUCAACCCAGGAACUGCGUCCGAGACUGGGAGGCUUGAAUCCGGGAGAGGGAUGCGGAAUUCCAGGUGUAGCGGUGAAAUGCGUAGAUAUCAGGAGGAACACCGGUGGCGAAGGCGGCUUUCUGGACAGAUACCGACGCUGAGGCACGAAAGCUAGGGGAGCAAACAGG
rnacentral:rRNA from 1 species